CGGUUUAGUAAGUCAGUGGUGAAAGCCCAUCGCUCAACGGUGGAACGGCCAUUGAUACUGCUAAACUUGAAUUAUUAGGAAGUAACUAGAAUAUGUAGUGUAGCGGUGAAAUGCUUAGAGAUUACAUGGAAUACCAAUUGCGAAGGCAGGUUACUACUAAUGGAUUGACGCUGAUGGACGAAAGCGUGGGUAGCGAACAGGAUUAGAUACCCUGGUAGUCCACGCCGUAAACGAUGGAUACUAGCUGUUGGGAGCAAUCUCAGUGGCUAAGCGAAAGUGAUAAGUAUCCCACCUGGGGAGUACGUUCGCAAGAAUGAAACUCAAAGGAAUUGACGGGGGCCCGCACAAGCAGUGGAGCAUGUGGUUUAAUUCGAUGAUACGCGAGGAACCUUACCAAGGCUUAAAUGUAGAUUGACCGGUUUGGAAACAGACUUUUCGCAAGACAAUUUACAAGGUGCUGCAUGGUUGUCGUCAGCUCGUGCCGUGAGGUGUCAGGUUAAGUCCUAUAACGAGCGCAACCCCUGUUGUUAGUUGCCAGCGAGUCAUGUCGGGAACUCUAACGAGACUGCCAGUGCAAACUGAGAGGAAGGUGGGGAUGACGUCAAAUCAUCACGGCCCUUACGCCUUGGGCUACACACGUGCUACAAUGGCCGGUACAGAGAGCAGCCACUGGGUGACCAGGAGCGAAUCUAUAAAACCGGUCACAGUUCGGAUCGGAGUCUGCAACUCGACUCCGUGAAGCUGGAAUCGCUAGUAA
rnacentral:rRNA from 1 species